rnacentral:tRNA from 1 species
AUUUAUAUAGUUUAUUAAAACAUUAUAUUUUCAAUAUAAAAAUAGGGUUAACCUUUUAAAUA